rnacentral:rRNA from 1 species
UACGAAGGGGCUAGCGUUGUUCGGAUUUACUGGGCGUAAAGGGCGCGUAGGCGGCCAUGCGUGUCUUCCGUGAAAUCCCUCGGCUUAACUGAGGACGUGCGGAAGAAACUGCAAGGCUCGAGUCCGGGAGAGGGGGUGGAAUUCCCAGUGUAGCGGUGAAAUGCGUAGAUAUUGGGAGGAACACCGGUGGCGAAGGCGGCCCCUGGACCGGUACUGACGCUGAGG